rnacentral:rRNA from 1 species
CCUACGGGAGGCAGCAGUAGGGAAUAUUGGGCAAUGGGCGAGAGCCUGACCCAGCCAUGCCGCGUGCAGGAUGAAGGCCUUCUGGGUUGUAAACUGCUUUUCUCAGGGAAGAAAAAGAGGAUGCGUCCUAAACUGACGGUACCUGAGGAAUAAGCACCGGCUAACUCCGUGCCAGCAGCCGCGGUAAUACGGAGGGUGCAAGCGUUGUCCGGAUUUAUUGGGUUUAAAGGGUGCGUAGGCGGCCCGUUAAGUCCGGGGUGAAAGCCCACAGCUCAACUGUGGAACUGCCCUGGAUACUGGCGGGCUUGAGUCCAGACGAGGUUGGCGGAAUGGAAGGUGUAGCGGUGAAAUGCAUAGAUACCUUCCAGAACCCCGAUUGCGUAGGCAGCUGACUAGGCUGGUACUGACGCUGAGGCACGAAAGCGUGGGGAGCGAACAGGAUUAGAUACCCUGGUAGUCCACGCCGUAAACGAUGGAUACUCGCUGGUGGCGAUAGACAGUCACUGCGUAGUACGAAGACGGUAAGUAGUCCGACCGUCGGGAGGUACGCGCGCGAAGAGUAGUUAACGUUACGUAAGUUAGUUAAGUUAGACGGCGUUGAGACGNGCCGACGGACGACGACGAGGGAGGAGG